UACUAGAGUAGCACUCGCAUAUCAAUAAGCGGAGGAAAAGAAACUAACAAGGAUUCCCCUAGUAACGGCGAGUGAAGCGGGAAGAGCUCAAAUUUGAAAUCUUAAAGGGUUUCCCUUUACGAAUUGUAGUUUAAAGAAGUGUUUUUCUGUUGAGGUUUUUGGUAAAAGUUCUUUGGAAUAGGACAUCAUAGAGGGUGAGAAUCCCGUAUUUGACCUUUACUUUCAACUUUGUGAUACACUUUCAAAGAGUCGGAUUGUUUGGGAAUGCAGUCCAAAAUGGGUGGUAAAUUUCAUCUAAAGCUAAAUAUUGGCGAGGAGACCGAUAGCGAACAAGUACCGUGAGGGAAAGAUGAAAAGAACUUUGAAAAGAGAGUUAAACAGUACGUGAAAUUGUCAAAAGGGAAGCGUUUUGACACCAGUGUUGUUUUUUCUGAAAAUCAAUUAAAGAACUGUUUAUGCUAAGCUUGUUUAGACUUUAUCAGCUAACUGUUUAGUUUUGAGCUUUUCUUUAAUGCACUUUUCAGUUAACAAGUCAACAUCAAUUUCUUUUUGCUGUAAAAAAGCUUGAGGAAGGUGGCUUGAGAUUCGUCUUAAGUGUUUAUAGCCUCUUGCCUAUGCAGUCGGAGAGAUUGAGGUCUGCAGCGUAGAUCCUUCGGGGCUAAAUGCAUUUGUGCUAAGUUAUAGCAUUUUAUAGACAACUUGUUGACUAUGAUUUGUCUUGUAGCUUACUCGCUUAUGUUAUUUUACCUACGCUUAGGAUGUUGAGUAGCGACAUACGCAC
rnacentral:rRNA from 1 species